AGUCGAACGGGAUCCAGGCAGCUUGCUGUCUGGUGAGAGUGGCGAACGGGUGAGUAAUGCGUGACCAACCUGCCCCAUGCUCCGGAAUAGCUCCUGGAAACGGGUGGUAAUGCCGGAUGUUCCGCACCAUCGCAUGGUGGUGUGGGAAGGAUUUUAUCGGCAUGGGAUGGGGUCGCGUCCUAUCAGCUUGUUGGUGGGGUAGUGGCCCACCAAGGCUUCGACGGGUAGCCGGCCUGAGAGGGUGACCGGCCACAUUGGGACUGAGAUACGGCCCAGACUCCUACGGGAGGCAGCAGUGGGGAAUAUUGCACAAUGGGCGCAAGCCUGAUGCAGCGACGCCGCGUGCGGGAUGACGGCCUUCGGGUUGUAAACCGCUUUUGAUUGGGAGCAAGCGAGAGUGAGUGUACCUUUCGAAUAAGCACCGGCUAACUACGUGCCAGCAGCCGCGGUAAUACGUAGGGUGCAAGCGUUAUCCGGAAUUAUUGGGCGUAAAGAGCUCGUAGGCGGCUUGUCGCGUCUGGUGUGAAAGUCCAUCGCUUAACGGUGGAUCUGCGCCGGGUACGGGCAGGCUAGAGUGCAGUAGGGGAGACUGGAAUUCCCGGUGUAACGGUGGAAUGUGUAGAUAUCGGGAAGAACACCAAUGGCGAAGGCAGGUCUCUGGGCUGUUACUGACGCUGAGGAGCGAAAGCGUGGGGAGCGAACAGGAUUAGAUACCCUGGUAGUCCACGCCGUAAACGGUGGAUGCUGGAUGUGGGGCCCUUCCACGGGUUCCGUGUCGGAGCUAACGCGUUAAGCAUCCCGCCUGGGGAGUACGGCCGCAAGGCUAAAACUCAAAGAAAUUGACGGGGGCCCGCACAAGCGGCGGAGCAUGCGGAUUAAUUCGAUGCAACGCGAAGAACCUUACCUGGGCUUGACAUGUUCCUGACGACUGCAGAGAUGUGGUUUCCCUUCGGGGCAGGUUCACAGGUGGUGCAUGGUCGUCGUCAGCUCGUGUCGUGAGAUGUUGGGUUAAGUCCCGCAACGAGCGCAACCCUCGCCUUGUGUUGCCAGCGGGUUAUGCCGGGAACUCACAAGGGACCGCCGGGGUUAACUCGGAGGAAGGUGGGGAUGACGUCAGAUCAUCAUGCCCCUUACGUCCAGG
rnacentral:rRNA from 1 species